UUGAAAAGUGGAAAUGGCACAAAUUUGAUAAAAAUUGAGGUUCAGGUUGAAUUGUGGCAAAAAAAAUCUUAUAUAUAUAAGGACACAGACUUAGUGAAAAAAAUCACGAUAUACAUGAAACUCUUCUUUGUAAUGGUUUAGUGGCAUUGACUAGAGAAUUAGUGCCACCAGCAGUUUAUCUCACGUUGCCGGCCCUAUCUCCAAGUAUGGUCUGGAUACACCACUUAUCUAUUCUGGGAUAGGGAAAAAAAGCUCUGGCUUGUGUGUAUUUCUUUAAACCAAACAGAACUUUCCUGGGCGGCACUAAGCCAGGAAUGCAGCGACGGUGCCCCUACAAAUUAGAUAGCGGAGAUAGCUAAAGGAAAGGGACGGGAUGUCAGGCUUUUAUCCCAGCAAUGUACAUCCGUUGAGCCAGACUACGAUGCCUCCAAGUCCUGAUAUUCACAUAACAGUAACGGAUGGAAACGCACAAUUACUGCUGCUGGAGUUGAUAAAGGUUGUUGAGUUCUUAAUACACUUUUAAAAGAACAGUUAAGAACUAUUCUUGUUACCCAGGGUUAGAUGUGGGUUAGGUUCAGGGUUGGGAGAUCUGUUUCAUCUCUCCUCAGCUUGCAUCUUAUGAGGUGCAUGUUGGAUUGUGACAGUAUCUGAAACCUCCUUUUCAUGAAUACCUUUGAGGAGAGACCGAGAUCAUGUGCACCAUGAAUUGUGCAUUUGGAAUGUGUGGCUUAAUUCCCUGGGAAAUAUCAUCUAGAUACCUAACAUAUCACAGUUUUAUCAAUUCUCAAGCAAACUUGGAAUUUGGAUGGAAGUGACAAUUAAACAUGAAAAUCUUGUUUUUGACUAAAAUUUGUUAUCAACUAUCCUCACUGUCCACAGUUUCUUUGGUAUAAAUUAGUUCAGAAACCCUGUCAAAUUAAAUGUCACCAUUUUAUUUCCCACCAUGAAGCUCUAAAUGCUAUAAUAAUAAUUUCCAACACCCUUGUCCACACUGUCAGAUAUAAAAUUCUGCAAUAAACACAAAUAAACACAGGCGCCAAAAGUGGAAAAGUUGGAAAAGGGUAACAAUAAGUUCUGCAAACACACUCUCUGACUUCAUUAUCAUUAUUAUCAUUAGCCCCGCCAAGGAGGUUAUGUUUUCAGUUUGGUUUGUCAGCAAGGUUACAUAACAACUACGGCCAGAUUUCCAUGAAACUUGGUUGAAGGGUGAAGCAUGGACCAAGGAAGAACCCAUUAUAUUUUGGAGUGGAUCCGAAUCAAGGGGCAUACUCAAAUUUUCACUCGUUACAAUGUGAAAUAAUUCAUGGCCUUGGUGGAAGUCUGCACUCUCCAAGUGCCAUUAUAGUUAUUGUUAUUAUCAUUAUUAUGAUAUACAAUAUAAUUAUGAUUAUUAUUGUUAUGAUUAACAUAGGUAGUAGUAGUGGUGGUGGUGGUUGUAGUACCAGUAGUACUAUUGGUGGCGGCAAAUAUUACUGUUAGCAUUAUAGACUCCUUCCCAGUCUGACACACAGACACACGGAUCGGUGCAUCCCUUAUUGUUUCUGUCUAUUGUCAUGCAAUAAAUAAAUAAAAAACUAUUGAAGUAUUGAAUAAAACAUUGGAUAUAAAAAAUACUGUAAUCAGUCUGAGAACUGUGACAGUUUUUAAUAACGUAAAAUAGUACUGAAAAAAGUACAGAGGACAUGACCUCAGUGUCCUCAGUGGUAGCUAUGGAGUCAGUGGCGGAAACCAAAACUAGGAGGAGUUUUUGGACACAAUGUGGAUAAACACAACAGCCCCAACAGCUACUGUAAAACAUUUUCUCAUUUUUUGGCCUUAGAAUUCACAACAUUGUUAACUUACUCCCUGGCUUUAAUUAUGAAUAUACCUGACCUUCCAAUGUGCAGUCAUCAGACAGAAAGGUGUGAUGACUAAAAGGGUUACAUGGUUUCUUACCUUGAGCUGAGCCAGGUCACUGGUUGAAGAGGUCCUACCCAGUAUGUGGCUGCUAACCAGUGUGUGCUGACACAGCAGGGCCAGCAGGCCCCACAGG